AACAACCUCAUUGACUGGAAGGAAUUCCUUCCGGUCAAUGAGGCUGUUCCACCUCAUUGAUUGGAAGGAAUUCCUUCUGGUUGAUGGGGUUGUU
rnacentral:miRNA from 1 species